rnacentral:lncRNA from 10 species
CAAGAGGGUUCUGGCGUUUCUCUUUGCUCCCUGGUGCGUGUUUUCUCAUGGACGAAGUCGGCUUCCUGCAAGCAGAGCUGUGCCCAGGACCAUGCCAGCCCAUGACAGGCAUUCACCCUGUUCUAACCAGUGAACAAAGGGGAGGAGUAAUUUUUUCAACAAAUGGUGCUGGGAUCUUGCAGGUACCUGAACAUAUGCAAGCUCCUGGAGGGCAGCAUGCCCAGGGAGGGCAGGUAAGCUCUGUCCCCACACCCCCACAACAAACACACACACACAUAUACAUACCACACACAUACCCAACACACACACAACACACGCACACAUACCCAACGCACACACUGAACACACACAUACACACACCCAACAUACAUAACACACACACACACACCCAACACACACCUACACAACCGCCAGUACACACACUCAACACACCCAACACACACACAUACCCAACACACAUCCCAGCACAUACACAGCAUACACACAUACCCCAACAAACACACACCCAACACACAACACUAACAUACUCAUACUACAACCCACAACAUAUACACACAACACAACACACGCCCAGCGCACACAACACACACAUAUACACACCCAAUACACACCAAACACACACGCCUAACACACACAUAUACACAACACACCUCCCAAUACAUACACAACGUACACACACCCAACACCCAACAACACCAACACAACACACAUACCCAACACACACACAUGCCCAACACACCACAUCACCACACACACACAGCCACACACACCAACACAUACCAACAGACAUUCACACCCAACACACACAUACCCAACACACACACACUAAUACAACACCCCACACACCCCAGCAACAUACAUGACACACAAACACACAUCCAACACACACACACACACACAAAACUGGAUAUCCACAUGCAAAAGAAUGAAGUUAGACCCAAUUGACUAAAAACGGAUCAUGAAUUUGAAUGUAAAAGCUAAAACUAUAAAAUAGCUUAUUAGAUAUGACACCAAACGCACAAGAGACAAAAUUUUUUUUUUUUUUUUGAGACGGAGUCUCCUUCUGUCGCCAGGCUGGAGUGGCAGGGCGCGAUCCUCCAACUCACUGCAAGCUCCGCCUCC